AUUUAAGGGCUGGCAGUGGAGGCAAGCAUAGCUUGCUGGCGGUCUCUGCUUACCUGAGUACUUGCAGAGUCUGUUCCAGUGCUUAACAACCCUUCCCAUAAAGAAGUUCUUGCUGAUAUCCAACCUGAGCCUCUCCUGGUGCAACUUGAGGCCAUUUCCCCUUGUCCUGUCACCGGUGAGAAGAGACCAAUUCUGUUCUUGCUGCAAUCACCUUUCAGGUAUUUGAAGAGAGCAAUUUACUCUGUUUAUUAGCAGUAGCUACAACUAGUAAGACAAUCUAUCACCUUCACUACCCCCAGUAGCAUUUUGAACUCUGUAUGGUACGUUAUGGAGAGUGUAUUUUAGAUGCCUCAUAGUCCUUUCUUCUUUAUAGGCCAGACAGAGUUUGAACUGUUUUUCCCAUAUUGCUCCAUGUCCUCUUGGUGAAGGAAGGCACCAUAACCAAUGUGCAUUUUAAGGUGUGAGAUAAGACCACAGCCCAAACACAGCAGAUUCAUGAAUGUUUCUUUUUGUGAAACAGCCUAGCAGCAUUUCAAAAGAGAAAUGUUUGGGAUGAAAAAUGAGUUUUAUUUUCAGUUGGGAGCAUUCUGUUUUUUUUCCCCAAGAAAGUACUUAAAACAAAACCCUGCAUUUUCUUACCAGAUAUUUGUUGCUGUCCAGAAGACCAGUUUUCUGGGAAAGAAAACUUUUUGGAUGGUCUUAAUUAUUCUAUUGCAGUUUCAAAAGGGAUGGCAUGAACGUGUACUGGAAAAGGAACAGCUCUCAGAAAAGACAAUAAAUGAUUGGGUCUCCCAUAGGACACAAUUUGGUAAUGUAAUCUCCUUAAACAACCAGUACUUUCAACUUGUGAGAAAAUUUCUAUUGAGCUUGAGCGGGUCAAUAACAUCUUCCCCCAUUUGGAAAGGAAUUAACAUUGUUGGUUUUUUGCUUUUUUUUUUGCCAACGUUUUUGUUAUUUAACAGCCUUUUAGAAACCCAUUUCCUAUGCUAUUUUGAGCUGCAGGCACAGUUAGGAGACCACAUCUAAGAGUGACGAUUUAAAUCUCUAGACAGCUCAGGAGAUAAGUCAAAACAAAUUUCAAGAUGUUCCUCUAAAGAGCUGUUUCCACUUAAGUAAGUCCCGUUGGGAGCGUGGUUAAAGAAUCACCUAAUCCACUACACAUUUUAUACAUUUAAACAGGUCCAUUUGAAAGAAAGUUUGUGAAAAUUUCUGUGCUGUGCAUGCAUAAUGAACACCAUCAGAGGAGGCUGGAAAUUGCUGCUUUUUUUUUUUUAGCUCUUCACUUUGUUGAUGUUGGUAACUUUAUGGCAUCCUAAUUUUAUUUUUCACUACCAACCUUGAGGUUACUGCACCAGAUAGAGCUCCUCUCUUGCUCCCUCAAAAUGUAAUAAAUGCAGCAAAUCUGCUCGAUGUAAGAAAAAAUGCUGUGCAGAGGGGAGGUAAAGGAAUGUGGUAUAGUAUUGUGGGGAGAGGGAAGAUUGGCAUGUGUACUGAAGGCAUAGAUGGAUCGAGUCACUCAGAGGUGAUCUGGGGCAGGCAUCUGCAUUUGGUGUUCAGUAACUGUAGAGAUUUGCCAAGCAUGAAGUGACUUCUUGCCCAUUGGGUCCCAUCCACAGCUUGUCUGUAGUACUUACUUUUCUGUUAUUAGUGUAGUCCUCCCACCUGGAAGCCAGUUCCUAUGUGCAAGAAAGCUCAUCUUGUAGGCAUUGUGAGCAAUGGGAGAGCCAGGACUUGUGGCAGUUAGGAUGUGCCACCAGUGCAUGUUUACACACCAGUGGCCUACUGGCAGCUCCCCAAAGGAUGACCCAAAGCAGUCUACAAAUACUCCAAUGAACAGUACUGAAGAUGUUAGAGCCAAGCUCUUCUUUGCUUGGUAAUGAGAAAUGAUACAACGGGGUUUUGCCAAAAAAAAAAGAUGCUUCUGAACGUCAGUCGAGUGGAUAUUUGGAAAGGAAUGUUCACUGGGUAGUGCAUGUUGAAACUGAUGGAGGAAUGGACUGCCCACCCUUGGAGACCUGGCUCUGUUGGAGCCCUACAUUUGGCUCCACGAGGCCAUGAUUGCUCUGCUGCUCCUGUUAGUCCUGGUGAGUGGGACAUGGAACCAGAAUCCUCUCUGACAUCCCUUCCAACCAGUGGUUCUUUGGAUCUGCAGUGACAGACUUUUACUGUCUGUGGGUGAACGUUAUAAAGUGCAGAAGGGAUGCCACUGCUUCUCAUUUUCUCCAUCAGAAGUUCUCAGAGUACUGACAUCUCACCAGAGAAAAUGUCAGUGAUGUUCUGCUCCGUGAUUGCGGUCCUCCUUUCCAGUCACUAUCAAAUAACAUGGGUUAGUAGAUACAAAAAUUCUUUGGCUCAAAAGCAACAUCAGCAUUAUGGUAUUUCUUGUUUUUCAAGUACUAAACCACAUCAGUGAAUGUAAGAAUGCAGCUGUUCUCAUGUUGAUCAGAAGUGAUCUGUGGAGCAUAGGGUGAAAUCUGCUGAGUAGAGCCUGCCAAGCAAAUGUGAUGUCUGGAAUACAGGGCCUUGUGCAUGUAUUGAAAACAUCUGAUACUGUCUUGCUGUGGAUUUCACAGAUGAGCCACAGGACUUGGGUUUUCCCUGCCUUAACCUCUUAACCUGCUCUCUCUUUCCGGUCUCGUUGCUGGAGGACAGCUGUGGGAGCCUUGGUGGGUUCUGAUCUUAACAUUAGACUUGUUGUUGACCUUAGAUGAACUAUGUAGCUUUUCCACCAUCACUGAUUUGCUCCUGAAGGGAGUGAUAUUCAUGUGGACAUCACUCGGUUCUGGUGUAUGUUUUUGGUGCAUUACUACUGGUACAUUAGCUGUUUGGUUUUUGUUGUUGUUCUUGUCUUUGUUUUUAAAGUUCUUGCAUUUGCAGAAGUAGGGUAAAUUCUCUGCUUCUCCCUGUGAUGACUGUUUAUGUUCUCCCUCGCAUCCUUUAACAGAAUUUGAGGCUGAAGACAUUGCUGUGGUCGUCUUCAUAACCCAUUAAGAUCUUUGCUAUUGAUUCCUGUGUCAGUCCCUGAUGUGUGGUUGCACUAAGGGAGGUAUUUUGCACAUUACCUAUUAAAAGCAUUGCAAUGCUUUGGUG
ensembl:lncRNA